UACAUGGGGUGCAAACGUUGCUCGGAAUUAUUGGGCGUAAAGCGCACGUAGGCGGUUUGUUAAGUCGGAUGUGAAAUCCCUCGGCUCAACUGAGGAAGUGCAUCCGAAACUGGCAAGCUUGAGUACGAAAGAGGGUCGCGGAAUUCCCGGUGUAGAGGUGAAAUUCGUAGAUAUCGGGAGGAACACCGGUGGCGAAGGCGGCGACCUGGGUCGAUACUGACGCUGAGGCGCGAAAGCUGGGGGAGCGAACGGG
rnacentral:rRNA from 1 species